AAAUUUGCAAGGCUCUGUGUAGUUUGGGACAACAAAAACAAAACAUAUGCCUCUCAUAUAAUUUGUUUUGUUCAAUUUAAAAAUGUAUCUUCAAUCAUGGAAAUAGAUAAAUUGCCAUAGGCAUACUCCCAAACUAUGUGUGCCUCACAGAAGAGGCUCGACAAGAGUCAAAACAUAUGAACAACGAUGACCGGAGCAUCUGCAUGAUUUUAAUAGAAGGCAUGAGAAUAGAAAGUAUAGCUCUGCAUUUACCUUGCAUGAUGAUGCCACACAAUUAAUACAAAUUAACUGAAUUAAAAAAAUCAAGGCAACAUACUUCUUUCAGUGGUUGUAGCAUACACAUUGGGGUUGGUCUCUAACAAAGCACGUGAACUGAACUAACAAAGUUGAAAUAAGAUGAAGUCAAUUAGCAAAACGUUGUUUUAUCAGGGUGAUAAUAAAGAUACAAAUUUGACCUCAAUGAUGAUGUAAGCCCUCACAUAUAUUUUAUGGUAGUUUAGUAUUAUGUUUCCCUUCUGGGAUAAUCGAAGGUAAAUAUCUUAUCCUGGUAUUAUGCAUACAUCUAGUAUGACUCUCGGCCAUGCUUUUCUCAUGAACAGAUUGUUGCUAGAUAAUAUCCAAGUCUAGACUCUAGAUUUAGAAGAUGAAACAGAGGUAGAAAUAGUAGGAAAUGCUUUUGACAGUUCACACCAACAGAGAUUCAUGUACACCAUGGUUGCUUAUAAACUGGUCCAUACCAUAGACCACCCAAUUGCAGAUAUAGGAAAAAGAUUGGAAUUGUUGUAACUCGAGUGACGGUUCAACUGACAUAGACAUACCUUGCCUGGACACUGAGACUGUCGGGAUAGAUGAGAUGAGGGCAGUGACAAAUAUCAAGGAUGUGAACAAUUGCUGCUUGCAAGGCACAUGGAUGGUGGGGGACGAGAUUGUAGGCCAUGCUUGUGUUCAACUCACAUCACAGUGUUGCACCUUCCUGGAUCAACCUGUAUGACACAUGUGCAAUGCAACACAAAUUGAUAUGACAUGACAUAGCGGAAAAAAAAUCAAUCGCUAGUUCAAAAAUCCUAGAAGAAUUCAAGCACAUCACCUACAUCUUUCUUGUCGAUAUUCAUGGUCUUCUCAUGCAACACGCCGAGGUCGUUGACGCUCCACCGCAUAAAUUGUGGGAUGGCGAAUAGCGACAUCAUCAUGAAAAAACACUCCAGGCAACAACAUGGUCGUGGUCAUUCCAUCGGGGGCGUUGCUAAGGACAUGAUAUCACACCACCUGGUACUACACUUUUCGUGAAAAAGUUUGGUAGCACACUUUGUUGAGAAUCAUGUAUCAACACAAAUCUUAUCAGUAUAGGAGCCGAG
rnacentral:lncRNA from 1 species